GACGAACCGAGCGACCGUUGUUCGGAAUCACUGGGCUUAAAGGGCGCGUAGGCGGGUGCUCAAGUCCGGGGUGAAAUCCCACAGCUCAACUGUGGAACUGCCUCGGAUACUGGGUGUCUCGAGGGUGGCAGGGGUAUGCGGAACUAUCGGUGGAGCGGUGAAAUGCGUUGAUAUCGAUAGGAACGCCGGUGGCGAAGGCGGCAUACUGGUCCACUUCUGACGCUGAGGCGCGAAAGCCAGGGGAGCAAACGGG
rnacentral:rRNA from 1 species